rnacentral:rRNA from 1 species
UACGUAGGGGGCAAGCGUUGUCCGGAAUCAUUGGGCGUAAAGCGCGUGUAGGCGGCUCGAUAAGUCCGCUCUGAAAGUCCAGGGCUCAACCCUGGGAUGCGGGUGGAUACUGUCGGGCUCGAGUCCGGAAGAGGCGAGUGGAAUUCCCGGUGUAGCGGUGAAAUGCGCAGAUAUCGGGAGGAACACCAAUGGCGAAGGCAGCUCGCUGGGACGUGACUGACGCUGAGACGCGAAAGCGUGGGUAGCGAACAGG